rnacentral:tRNA from 2 species
GGAGGAGUGGCCGAGUGGUUGAAGGCAGCGGUCUUGAAAACCGCCGAGCGAAUAGCUCCGGGGGUUCGAAUCCCUCCUCCUCCG